CUUGCCUACGGAAGGCAGCAGUAGGGAAUUUUCGUCAAUGGGCGCAAGCCUGAACGAGCGCUGCCGCGUGAGUGAAGAAGGCCUUCGGGUCGUAAAGCUCUGUUGCGGGGGAAAAAAGGCAGCAUCAGGAAAUGGGUGCUGACUGAUGGUGCCCCGCCAGAAAGUCACGGCUAACUACGUGCCAGCAGCCGCGGUAAUACGUAGGUGGCGAUCGUUAUCCGGAAUGAUUGGGCGUACAGGGUGCGCAGGCGGUCCUGCAAGUCUUGAGUGAAACGCAUGAGUCCAACU
rnacentral:rRNA from 1 species